rnacentral:misc_RNA from 1 species
UUUCCGUAGGUGAACCUGCGGAAGGAUCAUUCAUAAUAAAGUGUUUUAUGGCACUUUUUAAAAAUCCAUAUCCACCUUGUGUGCAAUGUUAGAUCUCGUCAAUCUUGGCGAGAUUUUUAUACAUCAACUCUUUCUUUAACUAAUUUGUCUGAAAAAUAUUACGAAUACUUAAUUCAAAAUACAACUUUCAACAACGGAUCUCUUGGCUCUC